rnacentral:rRNA from 1 species
UGGGGAAUUUUGGACAAUGGGCGCAAGCCUGAUCCAGCCAUGCCGCGUGCGGGAAGAAGGCCUUCGGGUUGUAAACCGCUUUUGUCAGGGAAGAAAUCUUCUGAGUUAAUACCUCGGGAGGAUGACGGUACCUGAAGAAUAAGCACCGGCUAACUACGUGCCAGCAGCCGCGGUAAUACGUAGGGUGCAAGCGUUAAUCGGAAUUACUGGGCGUAAAGCGUGCGCAGGCGGUUUUGUAAGACAGAGGUGAAAUCCCCGGGCUCAACCUGGGAACUGCCUUUGUGACUGCAAGGCUUGAGUGCGGCAGAGGGGGAUGGAAUUCCGCGUGUAGCAGUGAAAUGCGUAGAUAUGCGGAGGAACACCGAUGGCGAAGGCAAUCCCCUGGGCCUGCACUGACGCUCAUGCACGAAAGCGUGGGGAGCAAAACAGGAUUAGAUCCCUGGUAGUCCACGCCCUAAACGAUGUCAACUGGUUGUUGGGAAGGUUCCUUCUCAGUAACGUAGCUAACGCGUGAAGUUGACCGCCUGGGGAGUACGGCCGCAAGGUUG